rnacentral:rRNA from 1 species
UAUGGAGCUUUAAUUUCUUAAUUCAAUAUUUUCGCAAUUUCACUCCACAGGAGCCUAACCAAGAAAAUUUCUGAAUUAAAAAUUUUGGUUGGGGUGACCUCGGAGCAAAAACCAACCUCCGAAUGAUUAUAAGCCUAGACUCAACAAGUCAAAGCAUUGAAAAUCAUAAAUUGACCCAAAUCCUUUUUGAUCAACGGAACAAGUUACCCUA